UUCCGUAGGGAACCUGCGGAAGGAUCAUUACCGAGUUGACUCGAGCUCCGGCUCGACUCUCCCACCCUAUGUGUACCUACCUCUGUUGCUUUGGCGGGCCGCGGUCCUCCGCACCGGCUCCCUUUGGGGGCUGGCCAGCGUCCGCCAGAGGACCACAAAACUCCAGUCAGUAAACGUUGCAGUCUGAAAAACAAGUUAAUAAACUAAAACUUUCAACAACGGAUCUCUUGGUUCUGGCAUCGAUGAAGAACGCAGCGAAAUGCGAUAAGUAAUGUGAAUUGCAGAAUUCAGUGAAUCAUCGAAUCUUUGAACGCACAUUGCGCCCCUUGGUAUUCCGAGGGGCAUGCCUGUUCGAGCGUCAUUUCAACCCUCAAGCUUUGCUUGGUAUUGGGCCCCGUCCUCUGUGGACGCGCCUCAAAGACCUCGGCGGUGGCGUCUUGCCUCAAGCGUAGUAGAAAUCACCUCGCUUUGGAGCGCAUGGCGUCGCCCGCCGGACGAACCUUUGAAUUUUUCUCAAGGUUGACCUCGGAUCAGGUAGGGAUACCCGCUGAACUUAAGCAUAUCAAUAAGCGGAGGAA
rnacentral:rRNA from 1 species